rnacentral:rRNA from 1 species
GAUGAACGCUGGCGGCGUGCCUAAUACAUGCAAGUCGAGCGGCAGCGCGAGUAGUUUACUACUUGGCGGCGAGCGGCGGACGGCUGAGUAACGCGUGGGAAUCUGCCCCAAAGUGAGGGAUAAGCACCAGAAAUGGUGUCUAAUACCGCAUAUGAUCUUCGGAUUAAAGCUUUCGAGCGCUUUGGGAGGAGCCCGCGUCGGAUUAGAUUGUUGGUGAGGUAAUGGCUCACCAAGUCGACGAUCCGUAGCUGGUCUGAGAGGAUGAUCAGCCAGACUGGAACUGAGACACGGUCCAGACUCCUACGGGAGGCAGCAGUAAGGAAUCUUCCACAAUGGGCGAAAGCCUGAUGGAGCAACGCCGCGUGCGGGAUGACGGCCUUCGGGUUGUAAACCUCUUUUAGUAGGGAAGAAGCGUAAGUGACGGUACCUGCAGAAAAAGCACCGGCUAACUACGUGCCAGCAGCCGCAGUAACAC